UCUAUGUUUUUUUCCACUUGAGAUAUUGGAGUGGGCAUGGGACCAGUUCUGCUGUAUCUGAAUUGUGCAUGGAGGGAGAUGAGAACUUUGACCAGUGACCUGCUGCUGUGCACUAGUGAGCUCAGACACCUCAGUGAAGCACCUGAGGAGGGGAAAAGGAAGGUGAAAACACAAUACUGGACAUUAAGGGCAAAAGCGAGAAGAGGUGGUGCCUUUCUGAGCAGCAGACAUGCAAGGACUGGCUGUUAGUGAGCCUGGGCCAGAGCCCAGCACCGCGGGACUUACCGAGCCCCUGUACUUCUCCAGGG